CCUACGGGGUGCAGCAGUGGGGAAUAUUGCACAAUGGGGGAAACCCUGAUGCAGCGACGCCGCGUGAGUGAAGAAGUAUUUCGGUAUGUAAAGCUCUAUCAGCAGGGAAGAAAAUGACGGUACCUGAUUAAGAAGCCCCGGCGAACUACGUGCCAGCAGGCGCGGUAAUACGUAGGGGGCAAGCGUUAUCCGGAUUUACUGAGGGUAAAGGGAGCGUAGACGGCAGCACAAGUCUGGAGUGAAAUGCCGGGGCGUAACCCCCGAACUGCUUUGGAAACUGGGAAGCUAGAGUGCAGGAGAGGUAAGUGGAAUUCCUAGUGUAGCGGUGAAAUGCGUAGAUAUUAGGAGGAACACCAGUGGCGAAGGCAGCUUACUGGACUGUAACUGACGUUGAGGCUCGAAAGCGUGGGGAGCGAACAGGAUUAGAUACCCCAGUAGUC
rnacentral:rRNA from 1 species